UAAGGAAUAUUGGACAAUGGUCGCAAGACUGAUCCAGCCAUGCCGCGUGCAGGAAGACGGCCCUAUGGGUUGUAAACUGCUUUUGUACCAGAGAAAACCUAUCUACGUGUAGAUAGCUGAUAGUAUGGUAAGAAUAAGCAUCGGCUAACUUCGUGCCAGCAGCCGCGGUAAGACGAAGGAUGCAAGCGUUAUCCGGAUGCAUUGGGGUUAAAGGGUGCGUAGGCGGGCUUGUAAGUCAGUGGUGAAAUCUCUCAGCUUAACUGAGAAACUGCCAUUGAUACUGCCGGCCUAGAGUAUAGAUGACGUUGGCGGAAUAUGACAUGUAGUGGUGAAAUACUUAGAUAUGUCAUAGAACACCGAUUGCGAAGGCAGCUCACGAAACUAUAACUGACGCUGAGGCACGAAAGUGCGGGGAUCAAACA
rnacentral:rRNA from 1 species